rnacentral:rRNA from 1 species
UACGUAGGGGGCAAGCGUUGUCCGGAUUUACUGGGCGUAAAGGGCUCGUAGGCGGCCAACUAAGUCGGAUGUGAAAUCCCCAGGCUUAACCUGGGAACUGCAUCCGAUACUGGAUGGCUUGAAUCCGGGAGAGGGAUGCAGAAUUCCAGGUGUAGCGGUGAAAUGCGUAGAUAUCUGGAGGAAUACCGGUGGCGAAGGCGGCAUCCUGGACCGGCAUUGACGCUGAUGAGCGAAAGCCAGGGGAGCAAACGGG